CUACACAUGCAGUCGAACGGUAACAGGAAGAAGCUUGCUUCUUUGCUGACGAGUGGCGGACGGGUGAGUAAUGUCUGGGAAACUGCCUGAUGGAGGGGGAUAACUACUGGAAACGGUAGCUAAUACCGCAUAACGUCGCAAGACCAAAGAGGGGGACCUUCGGGCCUCUUGCCAUCGGAUGUGCCCAGAUGGGAUUAGCUUGUUGGUGGGGUAACGGCUCACCAAGGCGACGAUCCCUAGCUGGUCUGAGAGGAUGACCAGCCACACUGGAACUGAGACACGGUCCAGACUCCUACGGGAGGCAGCAGUGGGGAAUAUUGCACAAUGGGCGCAAGCCUGAUGCAGCCAUGCCGCGUGUAUGAAGAAGGCCUUCGGGUUGUAAAGUACUUUCAGCGGGGAGGAAGGGAGUAAAGUUAAUACCUUUGCUCAUUGACGUUACCCGCAGAAGAAGCACCGGCUAACUCCGUGCCAGCAGCCGCGGUAAUACGGAGGGUGCAAGCGUUAAUCGGAAUUACUGGGCGUAAAGCGCACGCAGGCGGUUUGUUAAGUCAGAUGUGAAAUCCCCGGGCUCAACCUGGGAACUGCAUCUGAUACUGGCAAGCUUGAGUCUCGUAGAGGGGGGUAGAAUUCCAGGUGUAGCGGUGAAAUGCGUAGAGAUCUGGAGGAAUACCGGUGGCGAAGGCGGCCCCCUGGACGAAGACUGACGCUCAGGUGCGAAAGCGUGGGGAGCAAACAGGAUUAGAUACCCU
rnacentral:rRNA from 1 species